UAUGUAUAGGCUAAUUUGUAUGUCACCUAUAGAGCUAUCAACACAUUUUCUUCAAAAACAAUAUAAUAUGUUUAAUAUUUCUUCACAGAUAAUCAAUGCACAUCUGGCAGUAAUGGUGCGUAUCAUAAUAGUAAAAACACAGAAAAAGCAGCAUUUAUUGACUCAUUUGCUAUGACUGCCAUCUGGAACAGGGGGACUCCAAGACUCAAGAUGAAACCCCUGGAGUAGCCUACAACAUUGUUGUGGGCAUUAUUAAUGACCAUCACCACUGGACACUAGCGGGAAUUCAUGCGAAAAAAGGGAUGCAAUGUCUCAAGGUGGAGAUGUGAGACAGUCCAGCAUCCUAAACAGUCUGACUCCACCUCUUGUGGGGUAUUUGCC